rnacentral:rRNA from 1 species
ACGUAGGGGGCAAGCGUUAUCCGGAUUUACUGGGUGUAAAGGGAGCGCAGGCGGCAUGAUAAGUCUGAUGUGAAAACCCAAGGCUCAACCAUGGGACUGCAUUGGAAACUGUCGUGCUGGAGUGUCGGAGAGGUAAGCGGAAUUCCUAGUGUAGCGGUGAAAUGCGUAGAUAUUAGGAGGAACACCAGUGGCGAAGGCGGCUUACUGGACGAUGACUGACGCUGAGGCUCGAAAGCGUGGGGAGCAAACAG